AGAGUUUGAUCCUGGCUCAGGGCAGACAGCAGCAGCACACGGUUGGAGAUGCUCUUGGAGCCGGGCAGGGCGAUCGUGCCAGCAGCCGCGGUAAUUACCGCGGCUGCUGGCACAGCUACUCCCCAUUGUGAUCCUGCUGCCCCUGCUGGGGCUGGGCCUUACCAAAAUAUUGGAAAGUCGAGUCAUCUACCCGGCACUGGCAAAUGAACUGAUUGACCAGGGUCAUCUGGUAGCACGUCUGAGCCAGGAUCAAACUCUA
rnacentral:rRNA from 1 species